GGUAGUAGCAUAUAUACUCAAGUGAGAACCUUGAGGGCUGAAGUGAAGAAGGGUUCCAUGCGAACAGCGGUUUAGCAUGG
rnacentral:ncRNA from 1 species